rnacentral:lncRNA from 1 species
UGCUAGAGUAAGCCUUCCUUCAGGGAACUAACGAUUGACACAGACUUACCAUGGAAAGCAUCUUGGGAUGUUUAAUCAGACAUGGGUUUAAAUCCUAGUUCAGCCAUUUAAAAAUGAUGUGAUUCUGGCCAGGUUCAGUGGCUAGCACUUGUAAUCCCAGCUACUUGGGGGGCUGAGGCAGGUGGAUCCCUGAGGCCAGGAGUUCAAGACUAGCUGGGGUAACAUAGUGAGACUCCCCCCCAUCUCCAAAAAAAAAAAGGGAUGUGAUCUUGGUCAGAUUGCUUCUCCAAGCCUUCCUUCUGCAUAUGUGGGGAUAAUACAGACUUCAUGUUAUGCCUUUGGGGAUCAUGUGAUAUAUACCAGUCACGCCCUUGCUAGUGGGUUGGCACUGCUAUCUCCUGACCCCAUCUCCCUGGGACGCUAUGAUGGAUAAAUGAGAUAGAGCUACAAUAAGAAUCCGGUUACAGAGUCUAAUUAGGUGCUCAGUAAAUGUUGGUUUCCCCAAACCUUUUCAUGGUUGGCAAGACCAGAAUCUUGUCACUAUUCUUUGCCUCCCCCAGCUCAGAAACAUCAAAGGAUGUAGGUCUUUAUCAAGUAUGUUUCCUUUGGCCCAGAAACUAAAACGAGGGUGCAAACACUGCUCCCUAUUCCUCAUUCCUGAGUCAUCUCCCCUUUCCCAGGAUUGAGAGAUGCUACUCCUUCCUCAGUCUGUCAUGCCCCCAAGAGCUCAUAUUCCUCAUUUUCACAGGCCAGACACCAGCAGAGAAAACACUGACUCCAGGAGACUAAGGACCAUCUUACCCCUCCCACCAUUUAUGGGAGCAGCAGCAGGCCAAGGGCUCAGCACUAUGUAACCCACUUGUGGAGGCAAUCCAUCUCAUCUCACAGUGGCUGAGACCGACUCCCAGGGAGGGUUACGCUGCAAAGGGGAUCUCCCUGGGGGUUACCGCCCUUCUUUCUGGCUCAGGAGGCUCUCCCAGGGUCCCAAAAUAUGGUCCCUCCUGACGCUGUAAAUUUAAUUUUAUUGCAUUAUUGGCUUAGUUGAGCAGAUGUUUGGCCCUAAACACCUGCCUUCCAGGCGCAUUAAGUACGCACAGUUUGAAGUAGUAAGUCCCAGGGCGGUUACCAGCUGGAAAAUACUCCGGUACUCUAUCAUGGAUGGUUAACUAGUGCUUGCCACAGCCCGCUUCUUAGGUUUAUUAAGCGCCUACUCCAUGCCAGACACUGUGCUAGGUGGUACACAGGUAAGAUCUCUUCUAUUCACAAUCACCUUUUGAGGACUACUACUCCUGCUCUAGAGAUAAGGACACUGAGGCGCAGAAACGAUUUCCUGAGGGUGUCCCAGCCUGAAUGUGGUGGGGCUGGGAAGCAAUUACGGCUGAGGGGCUCCAAGCCCUUAGAGCUCUGCCAUUCCGCUCCUGAAAAGCUGUCUGGGGGUGGGGACCAGACCAUUUCCCCCCAGCCUACUACUGCUGACACAUCUCGGGGUGCCUCACCCCCAGCUCUCCCAGAACAGCCUCCUGGUCUUAGCAGCGUGUGCCAAGAUUUAGCAGGGAGCAUCUAGUUCCUACGGGCUCCCUCCCAGAGCUUGCCUGUAAGAUUCUGAAUCAGGACGCACGCAGCUUCACAAAGUGACACCUCAGGAGCGCAGCCGCCCCAACCGCGGGUGUGACCCGCGCAACCCCACAAGGGACACUGUACCUCUGCGAUCUCAAUGAAGCGGGACGCACGGCACGAUGGGAGACGCAGGCGCCACGGCGGCCGCGCCUAGGCGCUGCUCACAACCUCCGCCCGGCCCCGCCCACAGCCUCCCCCGCGCACGCGCAGUCCUCACGAACGAGCGCGCCAAGCGCACAGCGCCGCCUUCCGGCAGAGCCCUCCCACCAGCCCUCAGGUACCCGGGCGUCGCUCACUAGACCCCUCCGCACCGUCCCCUGCCCGGCCCCUCUUCCGGGGUCCCAGCGGGUCGGGCUCAUGAUUCACCGGCCCCGCAUUCACCCUCACCCGGUAACCCCGGGCGUGCC